ensembl:lncRNA
CUUUGAAUAAAAAGUCAUCGUGAAUUUUGGCACAAAAAAACGCCAUAGCAUACUAUGUUGAAAGAAAAAUGCAAUUUUUCAACAUGUUGUAAAAACGUGCCAUAUGAUGAAAUAAUGUAAAGAAGGGCGUGAAAAACACUCCAGGAAGGUUUUCUGUGCAAAAAAAAUCAUCAUGAAUUUUGGCGCCAAAAAAACGCCUUACUAUACUAUGUCGAAAAAAAACGAGAUUUUUCGAACAUGUUGUAAAAACGUGCCAUAUGAUGAAAUAAUGUAAAGAAGGGCGUGAAAAACACUCCAGGAAGGUUUUCUGUGCAAAAAAAAUCAUCAUGAAUUUUGGCGCCAAAAAAACGCCUUACUAUACUAUGUCGAAAAAAAACGAAAUUUUUCGACCAUGUUGUAAAAACGUGCCAUAUGAUGAAAUAAUGUAAAGAAGGGCGUGAAAAACACUCCAGGAAGGUUUUCUGUGCAAAAAAAAAUCAUCAUGAAUUUUGGCGCCAAAAAAAAGCCUUACUAUACUAUGUCAAAAAAAAAACGAAAUUUUUCAACCAUGUUGUAAAAACGUGCCAUAUGAUGAAAUAAUGUACAGGAGGGCGUGAAAAACACUCCAGGAAGGUUUUCUGUGCAAAAAAAAUCAUCAUGAAUUUUGGUGCCAAAAAAACGCCUUACUAUACUAUGUCGAAAAAAAACGAAAUUUUUCGACCAUGUUGUAAAAACGUGCCAUAUGAUGAAAUAAUGUACAGGAGGGCGUGAAAAACACUCCAGGAAGGUUUUCUGUGCAAAAAAAAAUCAUCAUGAAUUUUGGCGCCAAAAAAACGCCUUACUAUACUAUGUCGAAAAAAACCGAGAUUUUUCGAACAUGUUGUAAAAACGUGCCAUAUGAUGAAAUAAUGUACAGGAGGGUGUGAAAAACACUCCAGGAAGGUUUUC